rnacentral:rRNA from 1 species
AACGCGAAGAACCUUACCUGGGCUCGAAAUGUAGAGGACGUAUCCUGAAAGGGAUAUUCUCGAAAGGGUCUCUAUAUAGGUGCUGCAUGGCUGUCGUCAGCUCGUGCCGUGAGGUGUUUGGUUAAGUCCAGCAACGAGCGCAACCCUUAUCGUUAGUUGCCAGCGCGUAAUGGCGGGAACUCUAACGAGACUGCCUGGGUUAACCAGGAGGAAGGUGAGGAUGACGUCAAGUCCGCAUGGCCUUUAUGUCCAGGGCUACACACGUGCUACAAUGGUCGGUACAGAAGGCUGCGAAACCGCAAGGUGAAGCAAAUCCCCAAAGCCGAUCUCAGUUCAGAUUGCGGUCUGCAACUCGACCGCAUGAAGUUGGAAUUGCUAGUAAUGGCGUGUCAGCAACAGCGCCGUGAAUACGUUCCCGGGCCUUGUACACACCGCGCAUA